UGAGACCUCUUGAUGGCCGCGGCCGUGAUCUUCAUUGGGAUCGGCUGAGGAACUUCCGGGCUCCAUAGAGCACGAUGGCGGAUAACGUCCGCCCAGGGUGACCUGAGAGAUAGCGCAGCAGAGAAUAGACCGCCCGUCCUCGACGGGUAAGGGUGAAACGGCGGUGUAAGAGACCACCGGGCCUCUGG
rnacentral:RNase_P_RNA from 1 species